rnacentral:rRNA from 1 species
UACGGAGGGAGCUAGCGUUAUCGGAAUUACUGGGCGUAAAGCGUACGUAGGCGGCUUUGUAAGUUAGAGGUGAAAGCCUGGAGCUCAACUCCAGAACUGCCUUUAAAACUGCAUCGCUUGAAUCCAGGAGAGGUGAGUGGAAUUCCGAAGUGUAGAGGUGAAAUUCGUAGAUAUUCGGAAAGAACACCAGUGGCGAAGGGCGGGCACACUGGAGCCU